GAUGAACGCUGGCGGCGGGCCUAAUACAUGCCAGUCGAGCGAACAGACGAGGGGCUGGCUCCUCGGACGGUAGCGGCUGACGGGUGAGUAACAGGUGGAGAACCGACCUAUAAGACUGGGGUAAAUUCGGGAAACCGGAGCUAAGACCGGAUAAUAUAUUGAACCGCAUGGUUCACUAGUGAAAGGCGGUUUUGCUGGCAAUUAUAGAUGGAUCCGCGCCGCAUUAACUAGUUGGUAAGGUAACGGCUUACCAAGGCUACGAUGCGUAGCCGACCUGAGAGGGUGGACGCACAGACGGGAAGUGAGACACGGUACAGACUCUUGGGCGGGGACGCAGUCCGGACUCUUACGCAAUGCGGGAAAGCCUGACGGAGCACCGCGGCGUCAGCGAUGAAGGUCUUCGGCUCGUAAAGCUAUGUUAGUAGGGAAGAACAAAUGUGUAAGUAACUAUGCACGUCUUGACGGUACCUAAUCAGAAAGCCACGGCUAACUCCGUG
rnacentral:rRNA from 1 species